GGUUAUGAGAGUGUUAUACGUCAGGAGGGAGCUAUCCCUGGAGUGAGUAUGUUCCAGGGUCCUAAUUUCCCGUGUGAGUGCAUCGAUUCUUUGCAUCCUCUGUUUUUUAAGGGUAGCCAUGAUUGCCAGAAAUUCUCCCCGUAUGACACACUUGUGUGCCUCCCAGGUUAUGAUGGGGGAAAUGGAUGGGAGCGUGUUUUCUUGGAAGUAGUUAGCGAGAGCGGUUUCCACUCGCGAUGUGAUGGCGGGGUCAUUGAUCAUUCCUAUGUUUGUGCUGGUGCCUUUGACGUUGUACUUAAGUCUACAGAUCUAUUUAAACAUGAUCUUGUAUGUAUGAACAUACAUAUGCAGAUUGCAUGCUUGGUAGUUUAUCUACCAUAUUGUUCUAUUCGGCUACAACAAACUGUUGUCAAUUCCUGCUACAUACAUAAUCAGGACACAGAAAGACACGUUACAUUCCUAGAAUGAGACCACUAGCAAGCUACACUUAAGGAAAAUAUUGGAGUAUUUGAUGAAAGGUAAAGUGACUUCAAGGAGGCAAACCAUAUCAAAUUAUCUACAUCCUUCUAUGUAAUUCUUACUGCCAGUGCACUUUAACAAGAGGUAUCAGCAAGACAAAACUUUCAUUGUUCACAUUAUUAAAGUACCAGUGUCUGUGCUCAAAUGGAAAUUAGAAGUGUACGGUCUUGUGAGCAUUUAUAUGAAAAUAUUAUAUACACAUAUACAUACAUAUAUACAUAUAUACACAUACAUACACACGCUCAGAAUAAACCCCUUGUUUGUGCCUGCCUACUAGCAUACGAAUUGAAAUAACAGUUGAAAUUUUGUAUUUUGUAAUCGCUUUUUUUAUUGGACUAACAGAAUGUUUGAGUGACAAGCUUUAGAUGUAAAAUAAGGGGAUCAUCUGAAAACUUGGAAUUCCAGUAUUAUGUUAAUCCAAUAAAAAUUAAAAAAAAUUACAAGAUACUAAUUUCAUCUGGUAUUUCACACACGUACAUGUAUGUAUGUAUGUAUAUCUCACUAUCAUCUACUGACUAAAGUUGCAUCUGAUAUUAGGGGUGGGAAGGGAUAGAUUUCUAUCUGUAACCUAUUAUCUAUUUUUACUCUAAGAUCUCUACAUUGCCUUUUAGGUUUAUCAGUCCCAUCACAACUGUGCCCCUUCUAAGCUAUAAGAUGUGGUUGUUUACAAUGUUUUAUUCUGUUUAUUUUUCUUACUGACGAGCUGAAAUCACGUAUGUCACAUUGUUCUUAGCGGUAUUGUAAUCUGUAGUGUAAUGUGUGCUGAUUUAGUUCUGAUAAUGGCAAGGUAAAUUUUAUUUUAACCCCUUAAGGACACAACUUCAGAAAUAAAAAAGGGAAUCAUGACGGAAUAUUUCCGUCAUGUGUCCUCAAGGAGUUAAACAAUAAUUGGAAGGUGAAAGUGAUGUGCCUUUUUCGUUUCUGUGGUGUCCUUGAGUGGAGUAACCUGCAUUGUGGCCAGUAUACCUUGAAUUGUUUAUGGUGCUACUCUUUACAACCACUUGUUUACCAUAUUAUUACACUAUACAGCAAUGUUGAAAUAGAGGGCUUUUAUAAACAAGAAGUACUUUGUUUCCCUGAUACCUUACUCUAUAUAGAGUACUUACACUAUUUCCUAAGUAAUAGGCAAACACCAGACUGGAAUAACUAACUCAAGUUAACUUUAAAGCCUGUUUUAUUUACCAUUAAUAUAAGUAAAAGUUAAGCAUAGCCUUCAUGUACAUUUCUCUUUUUUAAAGUAUGCAUUCUAUGUUCUGCUCGGAAGCCAUUUUGCUUUGCAGAGGUAUGGAGGCAGGUUAGUUUGCUGAUCAGCUGUUACACCUAUUUCUGUAUGAAGAAUAAUGUACAGAUACACCCUUCUUGUAUACAGGUUAGGCUGCAUUGUUAGGGAAGACACACAGAACUGGUUAGAACAUCACAUUCCUAUAUAUAGAAUUGAACACAUAUAUUCAAAUUGUUUCCUAUAUAUAGGAAUGUGCUGUCUGUGUGUGUGUGUGUGUAAAUAUAUUACACACACAUCCCUUUAUGGGUUAACCAAGGGAGAAUUAUAGACACAAUGUCCCAUUUAAUGGACAACUUAUAAAAGCCAGUGACAUCAAUACAUUUUGUCUAAACAUUAAUUCCUGCCUGUAGACCCUUGGUGGACCCAGAUGCAUUUUUAGGAAAAAUACUUCUUUAGCAAUCCACACGCACAGGUCACCUUACAGCUGAGAUUAUUUUAUAUGUAUGUAUUGUUAAUAGUCAAGCUACUACCAAAUUUAUAGCUAUAUCAAACCUCUAGACAUAGGAAUUUUAAACUAACCUUCAGUCAUGCAUGGAUCGAGGUAGAUUUCAGAGAUGGUGGGUAAAGUCUGUAACAGACAUGCACAUUCCCAUAAAUAAAAAGGUGCUCUUAGUUUUCAACUAGUACAGCAUAAAGAGGAGCAUUUAAUCACUUCUCCCAUCAUGUUGGAUGGUGUACCCUGGUCAGACAGAAAUAUAUCCAUUCUUAAAUCUAAUUAUUUAAAGCUACCAUGUUCUUUUUAGAAUAGAAUACACACAACAAAUCCUCAUGGUGAUAAUGAGUGGAAUUAAGCAAAAAUAAAUUCUAAAUAUGAAUAGCAUGCUUUUUUUUUUGUUUGUUUUGUUUAAUUGGUCGUACAUCUGGGAACCUACAAUUGCACUUAUGUCUUCUUUAGGACUUAGUAAGAUGCACAUACCCAAUAGAUUCUCCCAGGAAAUUCUCUGGUACAGAGUGAGGCCUGCUACGGCCAUCGCUCUAACCCCAAACUUGUAAUACUGCCAAAACUAGCAAGAUUUUCUCACAUGUUCCAAUGACGGACUCCAUCAUUGGCACAAGCAGAAUGAACUGUCUUCAUGGAAGAUGACUUGCAUCAAUGGGGGGGGGUCUUUGAGAACCAGUGUUAUGAAACUAUGAUUAAUUACGGCCAGUCUUCUUUAAAUAAACCCAUUUUGCUUUAUUUAGCUUCUAUAGAGAGAUCAAUCACUUUCUAAUGAGGCAGUUGAUUUAUUUUUAGUUUUACUUUAGGUUUUUACUUUUGUUACAAACCGCAAGAUAGACUAUAGAAUGUAAAUGGAUUUGUUUUAGCAAAACAAGAAUUCUAAAUGCAAGUAACAAGACGAUACAAUAUCAAGCAUGCCAAUAUCUUUGUUCAUUUUAAAAGCUGUAUUUUAACAAUCCUACGUCUUAAGUUUACAAAUACAAUCUCAUUUUAGUGGGUUUAAUGUUAUUGCAGUACUCAAUCAAUGGCUAAGAAGAAAACAAGUUGUCAAAAUUGGAAGGAGAUGUGCUGGAUGAAGAUUCAUUCUAGCAAUUCCUGGUAGUGUGUAGUUAACGCAAUGCUAAGUAAUUAAUAGAUUCUCAUUUGCAUUAUGGAUAGUUUGAAUAUUGGGUCAAGCCAGACUCCUGUGAUUUGUGCCAUUGACAAUAAGAAGAAUUAAGGGUAAAGGGCUUCUACUAUGCACUUUGUAUUGACUUAAUAAACAAACAGUCAUUAUACACUGGUACUGUGUGUUACUUUUAUUACUCCAGAAUUGACUUAAACUGCAAUUUUUGUUUUGUUCCCUUUGACUACAGGUUACUAUGAGAUUUGAGCAAUUGAUGGAAAGCUUUACACUCUGA